UGGGUAGUGGGGGACAACAGUCGGAAACGACUGCUAAUACCGCAUACGCCCUUCGGGGGAAAGUGGGGGAUCUUCGGACCUCACGCUAUCAGAUGAGCCCGCGUCGGAUUAGCUUGUUGGUGAGGUAAUGGCUCACCAAGGCGAUGAUCCGUAGCUGGUCUUGAGAGGAUGAUCAGCCACACUGGGACUGAGACACGGCCCAGACUCCUACGAGAGGCAGCAGUGGGGAAUAUUGGACAAUGGGCGCAAGCCUGAUCCAGCCAUGCCGCGUGUGUGAAGAAGGCCUUCGGGUUGUAAAGCACUUUCAGCAGUGAGGAAAGGUGUGUCGUUAAUACCGGCAUGCUGUGACGUUAACUGCAGAAGAAGCACCGGCUAACUCCGUGCCAGCAGCCGCGGUAAUACGGAGGGUGCAAGCGUUAAUCGGAAUUACUGGGCGUAAAGCGCGCGUAGGUGGUUUGGUAAGUCAGAUGUGAAAGCCCCGGGCUUAACCUGGGAAUUGCUUCUGAUACUGCUGGACUAGAGUACGGUAGAGGGCAGUGGAAUUUCCGGUGUAGCGGUGAAAUGCGUAGAUAUCGGAAGGAACACCAGUGGCGAAGGCGACUGCCUGGACUGAUACUGACACUGAGGUGCGAAAGCGUGGGUAGCAAACAGGAUUAGAUACCCUGGUAGUCCACGCCGUAAACGAUGUCAACUAGCCGUUGGGGGACUUGAUCCUUUAGUGGCGAAGCUAACGCGAUAAGUUGACCGCCUGGGGAGUACGGCCGCAAGGGUUAAAACUUCAAAUGAAUUGACGGGGGGCCCGCACAAAGCGGUGGAGCAUGUGGUUUAAUUUGAAAGCA
rnacentral:rRNA from 1 species